GUAGGAGACGAGCGUUGUCCGGAAUUACUGGGCGUAAAGCGCGUGUAGGCGGAUGAGCAAGUCUGCUGUGAAAGCUCCUGGCUUAGCCGGGAGUGGUCGGUGGAAACUGCUCGUCUGGAGGACGGUAGAGGUAGGUAGAAUUCCCGGUGUAGUGGUGAAAUGCGUAGAGAUCGGGAGGAAUACCUGUGGCGAAGGCGGCCUACUGGGCCGGACCUGACGCUGAGACGCGAAGGCGUGGGGAGCGAACGGGAUUAGAUACCCCGGUAGUCCACGCAGUAAACGAUGUGUACUAGGUGUGGCGGGUAUCAAGCCCCGCCGUGCCGGAGCUAACGCUGUAWGUACACCGCCUGGGGAGUACGGCCGCAAGGUUA
rnacentral:rRNA from 1 species